GAGGAAUAUUGGGCAAUGGGCGCAAGCCUGACCCAGCAACGCCGCGUGAAGGAAGACGGUCUUCGGAUUGUAAACUUCUUUUGUCAGGGACGAAUAAUGACGGUACCUGGCGAAUAAGCCACGGCUAACUACGUGCCAGCAGCCGCGGUAAUACGUAGGUGGCAAGCGUUGUCCGGAUUUACUGGGUGUAAAGGGCGAGUAGGCGGAUUUGCAAGUCAGGUGUGAAAGCCCGGGGCUUAACCCCGGGUCUGCAUUUGAAACUGCGGAUCUUGAGUAUCGGAGAGGCAGGCGGAAUUCCCGGUGUAGCGGUGGAAUGCGUAGAUAUCGGGAGGAACACCAGUGGCGAAGGCGGCCUGCUGGACGACAACUGACGCUGAGGAGCGAAAGCGUGGGGAGCAAAC
rnacentral:rRNA from 1 species